UGCUAACUCAACGGUAGAGUACUCGGCUUUUAUCCGACUAGUUCCGGGUUCGAAUCCCGGGCAA
rnacentral:tRNA from 9 species